rnacentral:rRNA from 1 species
UACGAAGGGGGCUAGCGUUGCUCGGAAUCACUGGGCGUAAAGCGCACGUAGGCGGAUUGUUAAGUCAGGGGUGAAAUCCUGGAGCUCAACUCCAGAACUGCCUUUGAUACUGGCGAUCUUGAGUCCGGGAGAGGUGAGUGGUAACUGCGAGUGUAGAGGUGAAAUUCGUAGAUAUUCGCAAGAACACCAGUGGCGAAGGCGGCUCACUGGCCCGGUACUGACGCUGAGGUGGCGAAAGCGUGGGAGCGAACAGG